rnacentral:rRNA from 1 species
AGAGUUUGAUCAUGGCUCAGAAUGAACGCUGGCGGCGUGCUUAACACAUGCAAGUCGCACGAGAACGCUUUAGCUUGCUAAAGCCAGUAAAGUGGCGCACGGGUGAGUAACGCGUGGGUAAUCUACCCCUGAAUUUGGGAUAACGUUGCGAAAGCGACGCUAAUACCGGAUAAUAUCUUUUUAAUUUCGGUUAGGAAGAUCAAAGGUGGCCUCUACAUGUAAGCUACUGUUUGGGGAUGAGCCCGCGUACCAUUAGCUAGUUGGUAGGGUAACGGCCUACCAAGGCAGCGAUGGUUAGCUGGUCUGAGAGGAUGAUCAGCCACACUGGAACUGACACACGGUCCAGACUCCUACGGGAGGCAGCAGUGAGGAAUUUUGCGCAAUGGGGGAAACCCUGACGCAGCAACGCCGCGUGAGUGAUGAAGGCCUUCGGGUCGUAAAGCUCUGUCAAGUGGGAAGAACCUGAUUAUUGUUAAUAUCAGUAAUCACUGACGGUACCACUGAAGGAAGCACCGGCUAACUCCGUGCCAGCAGCCGCGGUAAUACGGGGGGUGCAAGCGUUAUUCGGAAUUAUUGGGCGUAAAGAGCGCGUAGGGGCCAGUUAAGUCAGAUGUGAAAUCCCGGGGCUCAACCCCGGAAGUGCAUUUGAAACUAAUUGGCUUGAGUAUGGGAGAGGGAAGUGGAAUUCCUGGUGUAGAGGUGAAAUUCGUAGAUAUCAGGAGGAACACCGGUGGCGAAGGGACUUCCUGGACCAAUACUGACGCUGAGGCGCGAAGGCGUGGGGAGCAAACAGGAUUAGAUACCCUAGUAGUCC